AUUACGGUUCUAAUCCAAAACCCCACAGUGCAGACAAAAUUUGCCCAAAACCCCAACACACUGCAACUGCAUUCGCGCAGUAAAGCGAGCGACAAAUGUUUCAGAGCAAUCUCAACAUCUUCUUCUCUUCGUCAUCAUCAUCAUCGUUCACACAUCGCACUUCUCUUUUUCUUCCUUCAAUUUCCUUAUAUCGCCAUUGUUGCUCUUCUUCUUUUUCCUCGAAUUGGCAAUUGAGGUUACCUUUUAAGAGGAAGAAGCAGCUAUUGACCUUACGUGCCAGUUAUGAGGUUGGUGGCAGCUACUCAGAUGAGGGAUUAUACUCACAGGACAGAACCUUCAGCUCACAGCAACACGAACAGCGGCAAGGGGAGCAGAAAUUAGACUCUUCCCAGUAUGAAGCUUUGCUCAAAGGAGGAGAGCAAGUCACUUCUGUCCUCCAAGAAAUUAUUGUCCUCUUGGAAGACAUGAACAUGGAUGAGGCAUCUGAGGAGGUGGCUGUUGAGUUGGCUGCACAAGGAGUCAUAGGAAAAAGAGUUGAUGAGAUGGAAUCAGGCUUCAUGAUGGCCCUAGAUUAUAUGAUUCAACUUGCUGAAAAGGACCAGGAUGAUAAGCGGAAAUCAUUAUUGGAGGUGAUCAAGGAGACUGUAUUAUCUCAUGUUACAAAAAAAUGUCCUCCACAUGUUCAAGUGAUUGGCUUGCUCUGUAGAACGCCCAAGAAAGAAAGUAGGCACGAGCUACUACGCCGAGUGGCUGCUGGUGGCGGUGUUUUUAAAAGCGAGAAUGGCACCAAGCUUCACAUUCCUGGAGCAAAUCUGAAUGACAUUGCUAACCAAGCUGAUGAUUUAUUAGAGACAAUGGAAACCAGACCUGUUGUUCCGGAUCGAAAGCUACUUGCAAGACUUGUCUUGGUUCGAGAGGAAGCACGGAAUAUGAUGGGCGGUGGAAUACUGGAUGAAAGAAAUGAUAGAGGUUUCAAUACUCUUCCUGAGUCAGAGGUGAACUUCUUAACAAAGUUAGUAGCCUUAAAACCUGGUACAAGUGUCCAAGAAAUGAUAAAAAAUGUAAUGCAAGGGAAGGAUGAAGGUGCAGAUAAUGUGAGUGAUGAGGAAGAUGCUACUGGAAGAAAGAGAUCCAGUGGAAUUUCAGGAAGGGCAAGUGUUACAGGACAGACGCCACUUCCUGUGCGGCCUGGCAUGUUUCUCGAGACUGUCACAAAGGUCUUGGGCGGUAUAUAUUCUGGAAACGUAUCUGGGAUUACUGCACAGCAUCUAGAGUGGGUCCAUCAGAAGACACUUCAAGUUCUUGAGGAAAUAGCUUACUAGUACUCCUGGUAGUGAUUUGGAUGUCCCCUAUCCUUCUCUGAUUCAUAUCUUAUGCAGGCAGAGGACAGUCAAUCAUGGUAUUGGUGGCAAAAUAUCAAAUAAUUUAUCAUUGAGAAGGCUUUGCUCGUGAUAAAUUAAAGAAUUAUUACUCACUUAAUUAGUCCAAUUAUGAUUAUUGUUAUGUUAAAAGUAAAUUUAUGCCCCCUAGUUAAGGCAGAAAGUAUCUUACUCUUUGGUCAAAGGUUGAGGACUUAUCGCUCUCUAUGUUCAUCACACAGUUUGGUUGUGAUUAGAUUUCAGAAGUUAAGUAUUCUUUGACAUGUGAUUAGUACACAGAGACUGACAAAUGCCAAUUAAAAUCAA